UACGUAGGGGGCAAGCGUUGUCCGGAAUCAUUGGGCGUAAAGCGCGUGUAGGCGGCCCGGUAAGUCCGCUGUGAAAGCCCGGGGCUUAACUCCGGGUCUGCAUUCGAUACGGGCAGGCUAGAGUUCGGUAGGGGAGAUCGGAAUUCCUGGUGUAGCGGUGAAAUGCGCAGAUAUCAGGAGGAACACCAGCGGCGAAGGCGGCGCUCUGGGCCGGAACUGACGCUGAGGAGCGAAAGCGUGGGGAGCAAACAGG
rnacentral:rRNA from 1 species